GGAGGGAUCAUUAUCUUAAGUAAACCAAUUUCUUUUGGUUAGAAAAUUAGGCUAACACUAUUGGAGACUUUAGUGUUGGUACUGUUUUUUUUUGGUUGGUUUUAUGUGGAUUUGUUUAGUCCAUAUAGACACUGUCCAAAAAAACUGCCUCUGUAGGCCAACAUUAUUGGAGACUUUAAUGUUGGUACUUUAUUGAACAUUGGUGAGUUCAUGCUGGAACUUGCCAUUGUUUCAAUGGUAUGAUGCUUAUUGGGCCAUCAAUUUCAUUGGUCUGCCAAUUUUGGGUCUAACCUAAUUUUUGGAUCCAACCUAAUUUUUUGAGUCUAACCUAAUUUUUGAGUCUAACCUAAUUUUUGAGUCAAACCUAAUUUUUGAGUCCAACCUAGUUUUGAGCCUGACCUUUUAUUAGGUUGGGCCCAUUAUUAAGUUGGGCCUAAUUAUUGGGUUGGGCCUAAUUUUUGGGUCCAACCUAGUUUUGAGCCUGACCUUUUAUUAGGUUGGGCCCAUUAUUAAGUUGGGCCUGAUUAUUAGGUUGGACCUGAUUAUUAGGUUGGACCUGAUUAUUAAGUUGGGCCUGAUUAUUAGGUUGGACCUGAUCAUUAGGUCUAACCAUAAAUUGGCUAGCCUAUGGGCUUGGUGCCUAAUUUUAUUGGUCGAACACCUGUCGACGGUGGAUAUCUAGGUUCCCACAACGAUGAAGAGCGCAGUAAACUGCGAUAAAACUUGUGAAUUGCAGAACUACGUGAAUCAUCUAGGUCUUGAACGCAUCUGGCACCUCACCGUCAAGGAUGAGGUAGGACGAGCUGAGCGCCAAUUCUAUCCAGAUCACCGAAAGGUGCAUUUGGGCUGGUGAUAACCUACCAGCCUUAAAUCAAACGGGGGUACUAUCGAUUUCGAUAGUACUAAAAAGAACCUAUCCAUUAGUUUUUUUGGUUGGGCUAGUCUGAGUUUACCAAGAUUUGAUUAGACAAAAACUAACUUUACUGAAAAUUCUUUUAGGCCAGUCCAUUUUUUGGGCCAGGGUUUGGGGUUACACCAUCCCCUUCAAAUGGUCUAUUGGGUCAUGUUGACUCUAAACUGGCCUCAGUCUGGUCCAGUCUACCCACUGAACUUAAGCAUAUCAUUAUGUGGAGGAAAAGAAACCAACAGGGAUUCCCUAAGUAAGGGCGACUGAACAGGGAACAGCUCAAACUUGAAAUCGGCCUGGGCCAAAACCCUUGUCCGAAUUGUAGUUUUGCGAAUGGAUUCUGGUAGAGACCCAGUUUAAGUACCCUGGAACGGGACGCCACAGAAGGUAAAAGCCCUGUAAAAUUGGUGUCUCUACCUGUAUGUUUCCAUUUCAAGGAGUCAGGCUAUUUGAGAGCAUAGCCUAAAGCGGGUGGUAAGCUCCAUCCAAAGCUAAAUAUCAGUGGGAGACCGAUAGCGAACAAGUACCGCGAGGGAAAGGUGAAAAAGACUCUGAAAAAGAGAGUUAAAAGUAUUUGAAACCAUCGACAGUGAAGCGAAUGUGCCACCCUUUCUAUUGUGUCUCAAUCAGCUGGCUGAUCUAAUACCAACCAAUGGUGGCUACCUGCUGUUAGUAGGUCCCAUCAUUGUGAGGGUCAACCAGUGCAAUUAUUACACUUUGGGUGCAACAUAUUUAUGUGAUCAACUAGGGGGGCAACAAUUGGUAAUCAGCUUGCUGGUGAAUAUUGGGGCUCAACCUUAAUUGUAUCAUAUAAAUAAUUGGGUCAGGGACCCAAUCCUAUCUCUGCAAGGGAUAUUGUAUUUGGUGGAAGGCCUACAUUGUUUUGCAAAAGGUGGUGUAGGUCCAAAUCAAGUGGGAUAUUCACUAAGGAUGGGAUUUUUGUUGUAUGGGGGGUACAUUUGUCCCGUCUUGAAACACGGACCAAGGAGUGUAGAUUGUAUGCAAGUCUAAGGGGCAUUUAACCCUGGAGGCGUAGCGAAAGCAUUUCGUGUGACGGCCCUAAAAAGCCUGCAACACGGACCGAUCGUGACACAUGGUGGGAAGUAUCGAGUUUGAGCAUACAGUCUACGACCCGAAAGACCGCGAACUAUACCUGCAUAGGGUGAAGCCAGAAGAAAUUCUGGUGGAGGCCCGUAGCGGUUCUGACGUGCAAAUCGAUCGUCAAAUGUGGGUAUAGCGGCGAAAGACUAAUCGAGCGGUCUAGUAGCUGGUUCCCUC
rnacentral:misc_RNA from 1 species